UUAGUGGCGGACGGGUGAGUAACGCGUGGAAAACCUGCCGUAUACUGGGGGAUAACACUUAGAAAUAGGUGCUAAUACCGCAUAAGCGCACAGCUUCGCAUGAAGCGGUGUGAAAAACUCUGGUGGUAUACGAUGGUUCCGCGUCUGAUUAGCUAGUUGGUGGGGUAAUGGCCUACCAAGGCAACGAUCAGUAGCCGGCCUGAGAGGGUGAACGGCCACAUUGGGACUAAGACACGGCCCAAACUCCUACGGAAGGCAGCAG
rnacentral:rRNA from 1 species